rnacentral:rRNA from 1 species
AACGAACGCUGGCGGCAGGCCUAACACAUGCAAGUCGAGCGAGGACUUCGGUUCUAGCGGCGGACGGGUGAGUAACGCGUGGGAAUGUGCCCUUCUCUACGGAAUAGCCCUGGGAAACUGGGAGUAAUACCGUAUACGCCCUAUUGGGGAAAGAUUUAUCGGAGAAGGAUCAGCCCGCGUUGGAUUAGGUAGUUGGUGGGGUAAUGGCCUACCAAGCCGACGAUCCAUAGCUGGUUUGGGAGGAUGAUCAGCCACACUGGGACUGGGACACGGCCCAGACUCCUACGGGAGGCAGCAGUGGGGAAUCUUAGACAAUGGGGGCAACCCUGAUCUAGCCAUGCCGCGUGAGUGAUGAAGGCCUUAGGGUUGUAAAGCUCUUUCAGCUGGGAAGAUAAUGACGGUACCAGCAGAAGAAGCCCCGGCUAACUCCGUG